GACGAAGGGGGCUAGCGUUGUUCGGAAUUACUGGGCGUAAAGCGAGUGUAGGUGGUUGUCCAAGUUGGAUGUGAAAGCCUUGAGCUCAACUCAAGAAAUGCAUUCAGGACUGGAUGGCUAGAGGACCGGAGAGGAUAGUGGAAUUCCCAGUGUAGUGGUGAAAUACGUAGAGAUUGGGAAGAACACCAGUGGCGAAGGCGGCUAUCUGGACGGUUUCUGACACUAAGACUCGAAGGCGUGGGGAGCAAACAGG
rnacentral:rRNA from 1 species